UACGUAGGGGGCAAGCGUUGUCCGGAAUCAUUGGGCGUAAAGAGCGCGUAGGCGGUCCGGUAAGUCGGUUGUGAAAACUGGGGGCUCAACCCUCAGAGGCCGACCGAUACUGUCGGGCUAGAGUCCGGAAGAGGCGAGUGGAAUUCCUGGUGUAGCGGUGAAAUGCGCAGAUAUCAGGAGGAACACCAAUGGCGAAGGCAGCUCUCUAGUACGUGACUGACGCUGAGACGCGAAAGCGUGGGGAGCGAACAGG
rnacentral:rRNA from 1 species